rnacentral:lncRNA from 1 species
ACUUCCCUACUUCUUUAAAAGACCAAGCAAGAGGCUGUGUAUGUAUAAAAUUUUGCUCGCCCAUCCUUUCCAUGAAACAUUUGUGAUUUAAGCUUUAAGAAUCUUUGUGGGAUGAUUCUCCCCUCUUCCCAUUGCAAUAGACUUCUUAAUAAAAUGUUUUCAAGUUCCUGUCCAGAUUGGAUGACUUACUAUAGUGGUAAUGGUGCCAUGAUUUGAACAAAAUUCUGGCUGCCCCUCAACUGUUGUUUUUCUUCAACUUGCUGUGAUUGGACAGUAUGCUGACUUCCAGCCUGCUCUCUUCAGGCAAGUGGUGGUGCUGUCUCGUUAAACUCUUUGAAACCUGACUUGGAAAGCAAAAUCAAAAAUGCCGAGUGAAUAUUCUAAGACCUCACUUUAUGAAAACAGACAGCCCAUCAUUACUUCAGCCCAGUAGUCCACUAGCACCCUGUGAGAGCAGCCAGUUUGAGGACUACGGGCUUCUCUGAGGAAGAUAAAGGAUGAAGUGAAAGGAAGAAAUGUUGACUUGUUUCCAGCAUAACUUUACUGUAUGGUUUCUUAAAUAAGAGCAUAAUUGUAAUUGAGCUCAAAAUGUUAAUUCUAUUCCUCCAAAAGCCUAUGAAUUGUAACCAUUUCUUGUGUGAAUAUUCAUUUGAGAAAAUUAUUUCUAUAUUUAUGUACAUUUUUUAUUCAAUUUACAACUGCAGGAUCAUUUCAUAAUAUGUGUUCUGAAUCAAAAGUAAAUAAAUAAAAUUUAGUGUCUCCCUUCAAGGACA